UUUCUUUUUAAAGAUGCACUUGUUUGGAAUAAGGAUUUUGAUAAUAACUGAUCAAAAUAUUCUAUUAGAAUAUGAUAUAGAAGAUAUUAUCUGGAUUAUUUAUGUUUUAGAGGAGGUAUGAUGUGGAAUUUAAUUUAAUAAUAAUUGAUGAAGUGGAUUAUAUAAACGGAAAAGUUAAUGAAUUAAAUGGAUCCGUUAAAAAAUGAUUUAAUGAUAUAAAAUAUAGAAGUAUAAGGAU
rnacentral:lncRNA from 1 species